AAGGUAAACCCAAGAUGCUC
rnacentral:snRNA from 1 species